rfam:TPA: Bos taurus chromosome 2, whole genome shotgun sequence.
UCCCUGGUGGUUCAGUGGCUAAGACUCUGUGCUCGCAAUACAGGGGGCCUGGGUUUGAUCCCUGGUCAGAGAA